UUUUUUUUUUUUUGUGGUUGGACUCGAUGAUCUCAAAGGUCCCUUCCAACCAUGAAGAUUCCGUGAUUCUGUUCUCUCGUACUGAUUGUCUGUGUGCUGUAGUGGGUGCUCUUGAUGUGACUUGAGGGUUUCCACAAAAGGGUGUUUUACAAGUAGUUUAGAGGAACAACUUUCUCUCCACCAGAAAAUUGAUACCCCUGUCAACAGGAAGGAGAGUCUUCAACUCUUUUUGUCCACCAACUGCACAUCGUGAAUGCAUGUUCUGCCAACUUACUGCAGCAUUUUAGUGGAGCUUUGGUUUAAAUCAAGAUUUCUGCUAUAUUCUAGUUCCAGUUGAAAAAUGGACGACGAUGACUUUGGAGGAUUUGAGGCAGCAGAGAGUUACGAGUUUGGAAAUGGUGAAAAGCAGACUACAUCCCCUGCUAUUGCUUGGGCAGCAUUUCCUACAGGUAUUGAUAAUAUCACUAAAAAAAAUUCUUAACAAUAUAUUGCUGUUCUUCUGUAUUCAC